rnacentral:rRNA from 1 species
GGGUUGUGAGGUUAAGCGACUAAGCGUACACGGUGGAUGCCCCGGCAGUCAGAGGCGAUGAAGGACGUGCUAAUCUGCGAUAAGCGUCGGUAAGGUGAUAUGAACCGUUAUAACCGGCGAUUUCCGAAUGGGGAAACCCAGUGUGAUUCGUCACACUAUCAUUAACUGAAUCCAUAGGUUAAUGAGGCGAACCGGGGAACUGAAACAUCUAAGUACCCCGAGGAAAAGAAAUCAACCGAGAUUCCCCAGUAGCGGCGAGCGAACGGGGAGCAGCCCAGAGCCUGAAUCAGUGUGUGUGUUAGUGGAAGCGUCUGGAAAGGCGUGCGAUACAGGGUGACAGCCCCGUACACAAAAAUGCACAUACUGUGAGCUCGAUGAGUAGGGCGGGACACGUGGUAUCCUGUCUGAAUAUGGGGGACCAUCCUCCAAGGCUAAAUACUCCUGACUGACCGAUAGUGAACCAGUACCGUGAGGGAAAGGCGAAAAGAACCCCGGCGAGGGGAGUGAAAAAGAACCUGAAACCGUGUACGUACAAGCAGUGGGAGCACAGAGCAAUCUGUGUGACUGCGUACCUUUUGUAUAAUGGGUCAGCGACUUAUAUUCUGUAGCAAGGUUAACCGAAUAGGGGAGCCGAAGGGAAACCGAGUCUUAACUGGGCGUUAAGUUGCAGGGUAUAGACCCGAAACCCGGUGAUUCAGCCAUGGGCAGGUUGAAGGUUGGGUAACACUAACUGGAGGACCGAACCGACUAAUGUUGAAAAAUUAGCGGAUGACUUGUGGCUGGGGGUGAAAGGCCAAUCAAACCGGGAGAUAGCUGGUUCUCCCCGAAAGCUAUUUAGGUAGCGCCUCGUGAAUUCAUCUCCGGGGGUAGAGCACUGUUUCGGCAAGGGGGUCAUCCCGACUUACCAACCCGAUGCAAACUGCGAAUACCGGAGAAUGUUAUCACGGGAGACACACGGCGGGUGCUAACGUCCGUCGUGAAGAGGGAAACAACCCAGACCGCCAGCUAAGGUCCCAAAGUCAUGGUUAAGUGGGAAACGAUGUGGGAAGGCCCAGACAGCCAGGAUGUUGGCUUAGAAGCAGCCAUCAUUUAAAGAAAGCGUAAUAGCUCACUGGUCGAGUCGGCCUGCGCGGAAGAUGUAACGGGGCUAAACCAUGCACCGAAGCUGCGGCAGCGACACUAUGUGUUGUUGGGUAGGGGAGCGUUCUGUAAGCCUGUGAAGGUGUACUGUGAGGUAUGCUGGAGGUAUCAGAAGUGCGAAUGCUGACAUAAGUAACGAUAAAGCGGGUGAAAAGCCCGCUCGCCGGAAGACCAAGGGUUCCUGUCCAACGUUAAUCGGGGCAGGGUGAGUCGACCCCUAAGGCGAGGCCGAAAGGCGUAGUCGAUGGGAAACAGGUUAAUAUUCCUGUACUUGGUGUUACUGCGAAGGGGGGACGGAGAAGGCUAUGUUGGCCGGGCGACGGUUGUCCCGGUUUAAGCGUGUAGGCUGGUUUUCCAGGCAAAUCCGGAAAAUCAAGGCUGAGGCGUGAUGACGAGGCACUACGGUGCUGAAGCAACAAAUGCCCUGCUUCCAGGAAAAGCCUCUAAGCAUCAGGUAACAUCAAAUCGUACCCCAAACCGACACAGGUGGUCAGGUAGAGAAUACCAAGGCGCUUGAGAGAACUCGGGUGAAGGAACUAGGCAAAAUGGUGCCGUAACUUCGGGAGAAGGCACGCUGAUAUGUAGGUGAAGUCCCUCGCGGAUGGAGCUGAAAUCAGUCGAAGAUACCAGCUGGCUGCAACUGUUUAUUAAAAACACAGCACUGUGCAAACACGAAAGUGGACGUAUACGGUGUGACGCCUGCCCGGUGCCGGAAGGUUAAUUGAUGGGGUUAGCGCAAGCGAAGCUCUUGAUCGAAGCCCCGGUAAACGGCGGCCGUAACUAUAACGGUCCUAAGGUAGCGAAAUUCCUUGUCGGGUAAGUUCCGACCUGCACGAAUGGCGUAAUGAUGGCCAGGCUGUCUCCACCCGAGACUCAGUGAAAUUGAACUCGCUGUGAAGAUGCAGUGUACCCGCGGCAAGACGGAAAGACCCCGUGAACCUUUACUAUAGCUUGACACUGAACAUUGAGCCUUGAUGUGUAGGAUAGGUGGGAGGCUUGGAAGUGUGGACGCCAGUCUGCAUGGAGCCGACCUUGAAAUACCACCCUUUAAUGUUUGAUGUUCUAACGUUGACCCGUAAUCCGGGUUGCGGACAGUGUCUGGUGGGUAGUUUGACUGGGGCGGUCUCCUCCUAAAGAGUAACGGAGGAGCACGAAGGUUGGCUAAUCUGGUCGGACAUCAGGAGGUUAGUGCAAUGGCAUAAGCCAGCUUGACUGCGAGCGUGACGGCGCGAGCAGGUGCGAAAGCAGGUCAUAGUGAUCCGGUGGUUCUGAAUGGAAGGGCCAUCGCUCAACGGAUAAAAGGUACUCCGGGGAUAACAGGCUGAUACCGCCCAAGAGUUCAUAUCGACGGCGGUGUUUGGCACCUCGAUGUCGGCUCAUCACAUCCUGGGGCUGAAGUAGGUCCCAAGGGUAUGGCUGUUCGCCAUUUAAAGUGGUACGCGAGCUGGGUUUAGAACGUCGUGAGACAGUUCGGUCCCUAUCUGCCGUGGGCGCUGGAGAACUGAGGGGGCUGCUCCUAGUACGAGAGGACCGGAGUGGACGCAUCACUGGUGUUCGGGUUGUCAUGCCAAUGGCACUGCCCGGUAGCUAAAUGCGGAAGAGAUAAGUGCUGAAAGCAUCUAAGCACGAAACUUGCCCCGAGAUGAGUUCUCCCUGACUCCUUGAGAGUCCUGAAGGAACGUUGAAGACGACGACGUUGAUAGGCCGGGUGUGUAAGCGCAGCGAUGCGUUGAGCUAACCGGUACUAAUGAACCGUGAGGCUUAACCUUACAACGCCGAAGGUGUUU